UGAUCCUCUGAUCCGGGAAAUCGAGAUGUCCUCUCACAAACAACAGUUAUUAGUAACAAGCAUAACACGAUUUUCCAAUCUAUUAACGAAGUUUGAGCAUUUAGGGUCAAAGCAGAGACUUGGGUCGAUGUGAAUCGGCUUAAAAAUAACAAAUUUGGGGUAUCUUUAUUUUACAUCUUGGUCGAGACCUGUCACCAGCAAUAUGAUUUCAUGUUGCCUUAUUCAGGCGGGCGAAACUCACGUUACAUGCGAUCUGAUCAUCUGACUCUCACGAUCGAGAUCGGUAGCUUUAACUCACCAGCUCCAACACGGUUUUUUAGACUUUUUUCGGUUUUUCGAGCUGCCCUUCUCCCCUGAGGCCACGAUGAAAAACAUACAAUAUAUUAUAUCUUUAUUCUUUAUAUGUUACAUGCAUUCCCCUGCAGUAGUGAAAAGUAAAUUGUUUGUUUUAUUUCAGUGUCGACAGCUCAAACUAUGGUGGUAUCUUAUCGCUACAAUGCUGCUAACUAGACUCUUGGAUGAAGUUAAGUUGUUUUAGUCAGAUGAUCUACUUUUUGGCGUUUCCUACUGCCCUAGUUAUAGUAGUUCAAGGUUUAACUGUAAAUAUAGUGUUAAGUAAGUUUCAAUACUUCCCUGCCACCUUUUCAGACAUUGCAGAGAUGUGUGACCGCACAAUUCUCAAACCGAAGAAUCAAAAGGAGUUAUUGAUUUAUCGGUAUAUAAAGUAUGUAUGCUUUAUCAAACAAAGCCACUAGGUAUUCGUGACACAGUUUACGUGUGAUGACGUGGGCAUCUCUCAACACACUUUGCAGCAUGAGCGACGGUGCCCUGGCGGGAUAUCUGGAAAUGUAGCCUUGAGCUCAGUUUAUUUUUCUCCGUCACCUCACCCGGGGGAGGGGGGGGGAGCCAAUGACUUUGGGUACUUUGGGGACAAGUGCAGAAUUUCGCCAGCAAUUUAACCUCAAGUCUCCAAGAUUUUUAGCCCCCAUUGGUACCCAAAAGUCUCCUUUAGAAGUCAUUUAAUAAAA